rnacentral:misc_RNA from 1 species
AUGUUGCACUGUGGUUGCGG